rnacentral:tRNA from 2 species
GGGCGGUUGGCGCAGUGGUAGCGCACUUCCCUGACACGGAAGGGGUCACAAGUUCGAACCUUGUAUCGCCCAC